rnacentral:lncRNA from 1 species
CUUACACAGAAAAUGGAGUUUAGUCCUCACACCACCAGACUUUUGUUUUACUCUAAAACUGUCUUUGAAUCUUCACGGACAGCUGCAGAAACUGCACUUUGCAGACCCUCCUGAGCUGGUGAAUGCUUUCCCUCCAUGCUGUGGUCUCAGCCUUCUGCUCACAAGUGGCCCUACUUUUCCAGUCACAUUCACAGGAAUCUGAAACUAACCACAGUCAUGCGGCAGAGCAGUGAGAAAACGUUUUCCAGCUGCACUACCGAACUUGACGACCGGUGAGAGGCCUCUCCCCGAGCUGCCGGCCAGAGCUGGACCUGCGCCACUGGAAACAGAAGUGCAACUUUAUCACUUGACUUCAAGAAGAGCUUUUCCAGCAGCACAUGGAGACAAUUCAUGGAAACGGAAGGCAGAAAGGAAAUUUCUUCAGCUUGGGUCCCUCAGAGACAAAGAUAAGCAGCACGUUCAAGCUGGCAGGCCGUGGACACAAAAAUCUCCCUUAUCUUUGCAAUGUCUACUAGCAACAAAUUCAAUUACAUUUUAUUUGUUGCAGACAUGUAGGAGGAGGAUACACAUUUCUCAGAAUUUCUUCAACCUUUCUCUGGUAACUUGCAGCUUCCAAACAGGAAUCUUCCUCUUGCCUUCCUCAUCAGGCUACCUGAAGAAUUCCUUGAAAGGUUUCAGACUUACAAAAAACAGGAACACUGACUGUGUUCUAACUCCCUUGCCUUUAGAACAUCCCAAAUAUCUGCCUUGGCUUGUAUCCAGAUGUCUCCCAAAGUCUCAUGUGGUCAUAGGUGGGGCUUGCUAAAUUAAUCCACUAAUUGGCAUGGCAUAGUUCUGGGAGUGGAUAAUGGGAAGGCCCAACCUGGGUGUGAGUGCUGCCUGCAGUAAGGGUGUGCAGCCUGGAUAGAAUAUAAGGGAUGGAAAGAAGGCUGCUGUCCUCACUUGCUGCCCCACUACUUCACUGCCUGCUGCCUUCUGUCUGCCAUGGACUGUUUCUUCUCUGGGAUGCCCCUCUGCCAUGCCACCCUGCCUUGGAGUCAGCCAACUAUGAACUGAGACUUCUACAUACUGUGAGCC